UUUCUGUGCCUUUGGCCAGUAGUUGUGGCCAAAUAUAUAUUAAUCUGCUCUGUAACCUAAAACGUCAUGUCCCUCAUAUUUGGUCUGCCUGUGUGGUCUAUUAGAGGUUGUUCAAACAACAUAAUACAGCUACCUACAUAACUGUAGUUGAGUGACUGAUUAAAGAUCCAGAGCUACACACACUUCAUUACUACCAGCUGUAACCAAAUGUUCUUUCUCUCUCGCUUUCUGCAGUACAACGGAGCAGAGCUAGCCCAUUGGGUCCCAUGGUCAACGUGUCUUAUUGAAGAGACUUUAUAGUCAUAGACAAUUUUUGUUUCUUUUUCAGUCAGUUUUCAGAAACAAAAAUCUACAUUUACUUUUCUAACCAAGUCACACAUUGAACAACCCCAAGUAAACUAUAUAUAUAUAUAUAUAUAUAUAUAUAUAUAUAUUCUUGUUUUACAAUCAUUCUCCAGUUAUGAAGACUAUAUUUUAAACUUAUUUUUCCACGAUUAAAGCUCACCAAUUCAUAGGAAAUGAUUUGCUAAAACAGGAUCUGACAAGCUAGAGCUCACUUUUAAGAAGCAGUGCUGAGGCAAAAAGCUUGUUGCACAGGUGCCCUGAGGAUGCCCUGAGGCCCGGUGCUGAGCUGCAGCAAGAGAGGCAGUUGGCUUUGCAAAGAGCUAGCAAAUACCCAACUGUUGGGCUUCAGUCUCAAGGAUAAGGGCAGGGAGACAUAAAGCGUGGGCCAUUUCUCCCUUAGCACCUCAGCCACAAGAACCACAGUCUAAAAAAUCCUAACAGAACCCCUACCCUACCUCUGCUAACUGGUACUGGUAACUCAGUGGCUGACAGUCAGUGGGAGACUUGGGCAGGUUGGUCUUCAGGAAGGGAAAUUCUAACAAAAGCAGACUCUGAAAGAAACUGUAAAGAGACCUGGGGUUAGCCCCACCUCUGUCACUUCCACGGCUUGGCUUCCAGCGUGACCUCUUUCUGGUUUUGCUCAUCAGCAAACUGGGGACAGUUUUAGAGUUAGACAUGGUGCUGUGUAGUUGGCAAGGGUGUUCUCUCUUGCCUUCCUCCCCCUCCCAGGGAACUCUUUGUUCUGUGUGGUUUGUGUCGACUUCCCAGACCUCAAAAGCUGACAACCCCUCAACAAAAGGCCUACCCUGGACUCGGCCACUUUGAUUGGCGGCAGUUCUACGACACUCUUGUCUCUGUCAUUUAACUGCAUGACAAGAGCGGUUUUUUUGUUUGUCUGUUUGUUUGUUUUGUUUUUUUCCCCAAAUUCUGAGAACACUAGCUGGCCUGGGAGGCCCCUUUCUUAUUAACCAAAAUAAAAACAAAUUGCCACUAGAUGGCACUGCUUGUUGUUGGUCAGAGACAAGGAACUCCUUUCUGUUCUGGGCAGGGAGGGGCCAAUUUCACACAUUACAUCAAGAUCUGAGAAUCAAACAGACCCCACCUAGGAGCUGGGGAAAUUACCUCCACAGGUUGUCUUUAUCCAGAGGUGAUUUUAAAGGAAUAUAUUGUGUUUGGAUGUCAAUGUUCAAAGGCUCCAAGGCAGAAAAUUCCAUUUCAAAAGAAAGUGUGAUUAAUGAAGCCACAUAAAUCCUGCCGAGCCGGAGCCAUGGCAGGGAUCACACCACACAAAUCAGACAGCUGGGAGCCUCUCUCACUUUCUCCUGUUCCCAUUUCUACGUCGUCACUGCAUCCCUUGCUUCCUCUUUUCUUCUUUGUCAUUUUGUGAACACACGGAUCACCAAAUCCAAAACAGGAGGGAUUUUGACCGGAACUCAUGGCUGCAGCUGCCUUCAAGCUGGGGCCUGGUCAUUUGUGCUUUCUGCUUUUCCCAAGAAUUCCAAAGGCCGACAGAGGCAGUAACAACCACAGCCUCACUAACUGCCUGCCAAACCUGAGGCAAGUCUGGAUCUUUACAUAGCCCACUCUUACACAGAGACAAGACUGAACUGAAGGAUACUGUAGCUCUAUACUAGAAGGGUUUUAGAUGAGGUCUUGGGGUAUUUUAGUGUACCUCACUAGGAACUUUACCCCCAAAUUUCCUUGAGACAAUGAUGUUUCUGCCUCUUCAGAAUCCUGUGCUUUUAUAGCUGCUACCUGUGGCCCAUGCUCUCUCAGAUUUUUCCAUCCAGGUACACAGCCUUCUCUCUCUCUCUCUCUCUCUCUCUCUCUCUCUCUCUCACACACACACACACACACACACACACACACACAUAGUUCACACAUUUCUGCCUUACUUGCUGUACUUAGAGUCCCCUCAGUGCACUAGAGUCAUAGUCUCCUCUAGUCUUUGGCAUCUGCUUCCAAGAAUGAAUCCAGUUCCCAGAGUGACCGUGACAGAAGGUUACCAUGCUAUCUAGAGUAAGGGCCAUGGUCAGUCUAGUUGUCAAACAUUCGAGCCCUAGGGCAGAUGCUCUAUUUAAACAACAAGUUACUUGAUGGGUGCCCAUCAUAGACAAAUACCUUGGUCUCGUCUCACCUCUCUUUGUCUACAUACAUGAUAUGACUGGCAAAUAUACCCUACGGAAGGGAUGUGUAGACAACCUGAGCAAGUAAAGCAACCGUACAGAGGGCAGAGUGAAUGCAAACACUCACUAUGCUCACUACGAUCCUCGGUACUACAACUUGGUUUUUAAGUUUUUAAAUUCUUGUGUGUGUCACUGGUGUGUCUGCCUGGGUACUUGCACCGUGGUGUGGCUAUGGAAGUCAGAGCACUUUGUGGAGUCAGUCCUCUCUUUCCACCUUUAUGUGGGUUCCGGAGGUCAAACCACAUUGUUAGGCUUGCUCAGCAAGUACCUAUAGUUGUUGGCCUUCUCAAUGGCUUAUAAUUAUUAUAAUUAUCACCAUUACAAUAUGCUAGGCACAAUGGCAGCUCAAGAGGCUAGAAGACUAAACAAAAUGGGUAAUAUCUUUGCCUUAACGGAAGAGACAAAAUUCAUCUGACAAAUUCAGUAAAAGAGU
rnacentral:lncRNA from 1 species